UACGGGGGGGGCAAGCGUUGUUCGGAAUUACUGGGCGUAAAGGGCGCGUAGGCGCCUUCUAAGUCGGACGUGAAAUCCCUCGGCUCAACCGAGGAACUGCGUCUGAUACUGGAAGGCUUGAAUCCGGGAGAGGGAUGUGGAAUUCCAGGUGUAGCGGUGAAAUGCGUAGAUAUCAGGAGGAACACCUGCGGUGUAGACGGCUUACUGGACCAUCACUGACGCUGAGGCGCGAAAAGCUAGGGGGAGCAAACAGG
rnacentral:rRNA from 1 species